AUGGUAUACAACUCGAUAAUCUUCUCUCAAUCCAUACCCAUAUUCAUAUAUCUACUACUUUAUUUAGAAAAGCAGAAGCUCCCGCAUUUAUUUUCACAUUCAUGUGUUUUCACAACCUCAUGCCUUUUUGUUUAAAUAAAAAAUAAGGUAUGUGCUUACGCUUCCUCUUUUCCCAACAUACACUAGCUAGCCCGCCACAACCAAACACACCGAACGGUCACCUUUACCUUUGCCUUCUCAGUGCUCCUUUCUCCAAUCUAUGUUUUUGCUUUUCUCCCAUGCUCUACCACAUCUUGAGUCCAUUCCAUGCUUAUGCUUUGGCCUACUUCACUCUGCUGUGAUCGAAAAGGAUCGAAAAUUAUCUAUUACCGUUUGGCCCCAAUCCCACGCCUAACUAGCAGCGAUGUAGUGUCGGGGUUUGUUGCCUCUUCCGGGCCCAUUCAGAUGUUCGUGAUUUUUCGCUAAUUCUCUAUCGCACCUGCUCCUGUGGUGGUGUCUGAAUCAUGAACUUUAUAUUGCUUCACAGACAAAGAGCAUCUAACCUCCCUUCAUCUCCUCCCUCUAUUUCUACUUCCAUCUACCGUCUUUUACCUACUCAAUCAAAUGCCUACCUCAGUCAUCCCAUGCUAUGUGCCACUAGUUCGUCUAUUUUUUACUUCUAACCUACUUGAUAAAAGCCUCCUCUAAUCAUCCCGUGCUCCUUGCCACCAGGCGAUCAACUUUCGCUCCAAAGAAGUUAUGGUAGCUCUCCUAGACUAUUCGAGAGAUCCUGAAUCAGGUGCAGGCCUAAGCUCUCGUUCUACCUCCUGCUAUUUCAAAUGCCAUGGACUCAGAUGCGGUUUCUUAAUGCAUGUCUUUAUGUGGAAAAAGGAGCAAAAAAAAAAAGAAAAAGAAAAAAGAAAGAUCUUUCUUUCUCAAAAUCCUUGAUAGAGUGGGUGGAUUUUGAGUUCUCAUUGUCUGGUACGCUUCUUAUUGACUUUUCGUCCCCAAGUUUUAGGAUGAACUCUACGAUAUGUAGCCCCCCAAUAUGAGCUACAUAUCUCCCAGUUAAUAAAUCAUGGGAGUGGAUUCUGGUCUCUCCAAUCAUUUCCCUCUAUCCAUAAGAAUCACCAAUCAAAUACUUUUUCUCGUGAUAUCAAUAUGAUUUGUCAACUCAUAUCCAAGCUAUGAUACCAAACUGCCAAGUCACAGAACAUUGUUGAUGUAGUGCAUAUUGCACUUGCAUUUGUGCCAUGUUCUGUACCUUUUGGAUUGCUCUGAUUUUUUAAAAGUUUUUUUUUUGUGACCUAUGCCCAUGUUAUAGUAGCUUACUUUUUAUUUAAUAUUUGUCUUUAUCUAAUGGUACAUAACGCUUUACCUAGAUAUUUAUUUGUUAGUUUAAUCAUCAAAUAUUGUGUUCUUCCAAGCUUAUCUUAUUGUAAAAUCUUGAUUUCAAUUUUAUUAGUAAAAUAAUUUGUUUGUUCUUGUUCCUUGGAAUGCUAACUGCCUGAAGAGAUGCAAACCACGUGCAAUGCACGUGACCCUCCUACUAUUAUAAGUAAAACUGUAUCCUAUUGUAAUAAAUGCUCUCUAAUUAAUAAAAAAAUUAUUUAAAGAAUAUAUUAAAAAAUUAAGAGAAUUGAUAUAAUCAAA